CAGCGGUUAGGAGCUUACACCCACCCGUGUUUACAUACUAUUGUUGCUUUGGCGGGCCGUGGCCUCCACUGCGGGCUCUGCUCGUGUGUGCCCGCCAGAGAACCAAACUCUGAAUGUUAGUGAUGUCUGAGUACUAUCUAAUAGUUAAAACUUUCAACAACGGAUCUCUUGGUUCUGGCAUCGAUGAAGAACGCAGCGAAAUGCGAUAAGUAAUGUGAAUUGCAGAAUUCAGUGAAUCAUCGAAUCUUUGAACGCACAUUGCGCCCUGUGGUAUUCCGCAGGGCAUGCCUGUUCGAGCGUCAUUUAACCACUCACGCCUAGCGUGGUAUUGGGGCACGCGGUCUCCGCGGCCCUCAAAAUUAGUGGCGGCGCCGGUGGGCUCUAAGCGUAGUACAUACUCCCGCUAUAGAGUUCCCCCGGUGGCUCGCCAGAACCCCCAAUUUUUACAGGUUGACCUCGGAUCAGGUAGGGAUACCCGCUGAACUUAAGCAUAUCAAUAAGCGGAGGAA
rnacentral:rRNA from 1 species